GUCCCUUGGAGUCUGGACAGGACUGGCUUCCAUGAGAAUUGUCUUGGAAAAACUGCCUUUCUUAAAGAUACGCAAAUACGAUCCUUCUGGCAUUCUUCAAGCCAUGGGGCUCCGUGAACUCUCUCGUGAGUGUUACAGAUGAGAUUCGUGAGUGCUGCGGUGGCAGACUGAGUUCAGCUGUGCAUCCCCUUCACCCUCCCUUUGUCCACGGGGCUUAAAGCUCAUGUAUCACACCGUCCUGGCCUUUGUCCAGGAUGGCUAAGAACACCACUGCACCACACCUGCAGCCCAGAACACCCCUCAAAUGGGUGCUUUUGUGCCAAACAACUUGGCAGACAAUUUUAGGGAUCUCCUAUGGCCAAAAGAGUUUUCCCAAGAAUGCUUGAUGAUGGGAGGAAAGGCAAGUAAGGGAAAGAACAGAGAGGAGACCACAGUGACUCCCUAGACUCAUUGACGCUGGCUAGACCUGAGUUCCAGAGUCUUCGCUCGGGGUGACUUGCCCUGGAAACUUAUGUCAAAGCUCCAAACCUUUCCUUUUAUCUUGAAAAUAAGACUGAGAUUAUAGUCAUCAGUCACCCAACAAGGGGGAAUGUGUUAGGAGAAGUACACCAUUGAGUGAUUUUGUCAUUCCCUGUAUGAACAUCGUAGUCUUCUUACAGAUGCUAUGGUGGCUAUGAUGUCAUCAAGUAUAAUCUCUUUGGUUUGAUUUUUGGGGCUUGUAAGAACAUCUUACAGCCUAGGCUGUUCCAGAACUUACGAUUUCCCUAUGACAGCCUCCCACGUGUAGGAAUGACAGGCCUGUGCUGCCAGGCCCAGCCAAGUAAUGGGAUCUUAACCGGCUGCCUUCAUAUAUGCAAUGUGUCUUUGACAAGACAUGCAGAACUUGUCUGUACUUGUGUUGCUUAUCUUAUAGGACUGUGAAACUUUCUGUUCAAAACACUUGGUGAACCUGAAGUGUUAAACCAACGUGAGGGUUCAUCCAAGCUUGAGCUUGUUGUAGCUCUGUUUAGCUACCUAGCAACAGGUUGCUAAGGGAGUCAGCACUGUGCAAUGACGCAUCUCUGAUUGUCAAUCAGAAACAGGCUGGUGAUCAUAGUAUUCGCACAGUUCAGCAGGUUAGAUAGAAAUAUUAAUUAUAUCGGCGAGUCUCAGUGAGACCUAGUCCUCUGGCUUCACAUCACUGACUGACUUUCCUAUGAUCUGCCCCAUUAUCCUUGAAGAGUAAUGGACGCUCAUGCUGUGGGCAGAGUGGGGCAUUGAUGCUGUAACCAGGAUGGUAUCAUCUUUCACCGGCACAAGAUUAAUUUACCAACGAGACAAGGCUGCUUUCUACCACAUGCUGAAUUGGUUGGCAGCUGCUGGGUGUUUUUCACACCUGCCAAUGGAAAAUAUAUUUUCUUUGUAGGAAACAGUUUCUGUUACUGUAUUCUAGUGGAAGUUAUUAGUUAUAAAAAUUUAUUAAAUUAUUUUAAAAC
rnacentral:lncRNA from 1 species